rnacentral:misc_RNA from 1 species
AAAAAAAAAAAAGAGAAAAACCUCAAAUGGCACAGCCCAUAAAGCAAAGCUUGCUGAAGCAGUUGGCGCUAAAACUGUGUAUGCUCAUCAUGUGACCAGCUUCGUGUUAAACUAUGGCUCUCAGUCCUGCCUGCUAGCUAAGCACAAUUCAUACAAUUCAUUUAGUAUCCAUUCCUCCCCAGUGUGCCCACCCAAUACCAGGACCCUUGUUCCUCCAACCACACAUGUGCUGUGGCCCCAGGCAUAUUUAGGUGGCUGGCCAGGAACAUUGAGAAUCCCCCAUGAUGGUUUCUCCUCAGAAGGAUCCAACAGGAAAGGCUGAGAAGGAGAAUGCAGGCCAGCAAUUGAACCACCAAAGAUUAUAAUCCUCCCACAAGGCAUGGUGACAGCAACAUGAUCAAGUCUGGGAGGAGGACCCACUGAACUUUGCCUGCCGAUGCCAGUGAAUGAAUUACAAUCUAGUUGCCUCCACUGAGGCUCUUCAUCCUCUAAAUCAAUGGUGUAGGCCUCACCUGAUCUCAAUCGCAAGUGUCCACUCUUGGCAAGGCCACCAAACAUUAGAAUUUUUGUAUGACCAUAAACCGAGAGUGAAUGUCCUAAUCGAGAUGGAGGAGCCCAAGAAGUUGGAAUCUCUCUCCACAUUGGCUUCUCUGUAGUGAGAUCCAACAGGUAAGUGUCACUCAGAAGUACCCCAGCAUCUGUACAUCCACCUGAGACAACCAGUUUGGAACCUUCUAUUGUGCAAGAGCUAUGCCAAGAUCGAGGAAGGGGUGGAGCUCCACCAGAAACUUCCUUCCAUGUUGGCUGUUUGGCGUCCAAGUCCAGAACAAAAACAUCAUUGAGCAACCCUUCCCUUCCACAUCCUCCAAAUACCACCAACCACGAACCAUUGAGGCAGGAGAGAGUGUGGCCCCAGCGCCCAGGUGGAGAUGAUUUUACACUCACCCGCUGCCACUCUGGAUUUGCAGCAUCAAGAUUAAGAACGAAUGUAUCAUCCAUUGGCUGCAUAUCAACUCCCUCCCCUCCAAACAAAACUAGUCUAUUCCCUGCUGCACACGCACUGAAAUUACAACGAGAAGGCUCAACUGCCCCUCCAACUGUCAAUUUCCUCCAGCACACAGCCUCAAGAGUGGUCAAUUCCCUAGCCAGACGUCCCCAACCUAACUUCUUAGUCAUCAGCUCCAGUGCACCAGUGACUUC